rnacentral:rRNA from 1 species
GUGGGGAAUCUUCCGCAAUGGACGAAAGUCUGACGGAGCAACGCCGCGUGAGUGAUGAAGGUCUUCGGAUUGUAAAGCUCUGUUAAUCGGGACGAAAGAGCCUAGUGUGAAUAAUGCUAGGAAGUGACGGUACCGGAAUAGAAAGCCACGGCUAACUACGUGCCAGCAGCCGCGGUAAUACGUAGGUGGCAAGCGUUGUCCGGAAUUAUUGGGCGUAAAGCGCGCGCAGGCGGAUCUGCCAGUCUGUCUUAAAAGUUCGGGGCUUAACCCCGUGAUGGGAUGGAAACUACAGAUCUAGAGUAUCGGAGAGUAAAGUGGAAUUCCUAGUGUAGCGGUGAAAUGCGUAGAUAUUAGGAAGAACACCAGUGGCGAAGGCGACUUUCUGGACGAAAACUGACGCUGAGGCGCGAAAGCCAGGGGAGCGAACGGGAUUAGAUACCCCAGUAGUCC